UACGUAGGUGGCAAGCGUUAUCCGGAUUUAUUGGGCGUAAAGGGAACGCAGGCGGUCUUUUAAGUCUGAUGUGAAAGCCUUCGGCUUAACCGGAGUAGUGCAUUGGAAACUGGGAGACUUGAGUGCAGAAGAGGAGAGUGGGACUCCAUGUGUAGCGGUGAAAUGCGUAGAUAUAUGGAAGAACACCAGUGGCGAAAGCGGCUCUCUGGUCUGUAACUGACGCUGAGGUUCGAAAGCGUGGGUAGCAAACAGG
rnacentral:rRNA from 1 species